rnacentral:misc_RNA from 1 species
UACGGAGGGUGCAAGCAUUAAUCGGAUUUAUUGGGCGUACAGGGGGCGUAGGUGGUUUAGUAAGUCGAAUGUGAAAUUCCAUGGCUCAACCAUGGAGCUGCAUUCGAAACUACUAAGCUCGAGGAUAGUCGGGGAAAACGGAAUUCCACGUGUAGCGGUGAAAUGCGUAGAUAUGUGGAAGAACACCGGUGGCGAAGGCGGUUUUCUAGAUUACUCCUGACACUGAGGCCCGAAAGCAAGGGGAGCAAACAGG